rnacentral:rRNA from 1 species
UUCCGGUUGAUCCUGCCAGACCCGACUGCUAUCAGAGUAGGACUAAGCCAUGCGAGUCAACGCCGUAAGGCGUGGCAUACGGCUCAGUAACACGUAGUCAACAUGCCCAAAGGACGUGGAUAACCUCGGGAAACUGAGGAUAAACCGCGAUAGGCCAAGGUUUCUGGAAUGAGCCAUGGCCGAAAUCUAUAUGGCCUUUGGAUUGGACUGCGGCCGAUC